CCUGUUCCGGUUUUCCUGGCAUUCGCGCAGAAAUCUACUUCCUUUUCCAGUCUUGUUUGCAUGAGACUUUGAAUAAAAUAUAUAUUUAUCAGUCUAGUAAAAUAUAAGAUUGGAACUCAAUACAAAUUCAUGUUUAAUAAUUGUUUGAUAUGAAAAAUGUUACCUGAUGAAAGCAUUUCUAUUGUUUACAUUGAAUAUGACUGUUAUGAGGUCAUAACCUAAAGGACGUCACAGCUAAAUCCCUAACAACAGAACCAAAAUC
rnacentral:lncRNA from 1 species